CCCAACUAUCCCUAUUAAUCAUUACGUCAAUCCUAGAAACUAACAAAAUAGAAUCAAACGUCCUAUUUUAUUAUUCCAUGCUAAUGUAUUCAAGCGUAAGCCUGUUUUAAACACUCUAAUUUUUUCAAAGUAACAGUCCUGAUUCCCCACGACACCAAAUUAAUGACAUCGCAGUUCUUCAGAAGGGAGGAACUAAUAAUACCAGUGCGUACCAAAGCACAACUGACAAUUUGAUCCCAAAAUUUAACUACGAGCUUUUUAACUGUAACAACUUUAAUAUACACUAUUGGAGCUAGAAUUACUACAGCUGCUAGCACCAGACUUGC
rnacentral:misc_RNA from 1 species